GACGAACGCUGGCGGCGUGCUUAACACAUGCAAGUCGAACGGAAAGGCCCUGCUUUUGUGGGGUGCUCGAGUGGCGAACGGGUGAGUAACACGUGAGUAACCUGCCCUUGACUUUGGGAUAACUUCAGGAAACUGGGGCUAAUACCGGAUAGGAGCUCCUGCUGCAUGGUGGGGGUUGGAAAGUUUCGGCGGUUGGGGAUGGACUCGCGGCUUAUCAGCUUGUUGGUGGGGUGGUGGCUUACCAAGGCUUUGACGGGUAGCCGGCCUGAGAGGGUGACCGGCCACAUUGGGACUGAGAUGCGGCCCAGACUCCUACGGGAGGCAGCAGUGGGGAAUAUUGCACAAUGGGCGGAAGCCUGAUGCAGCAACGCCGCGUGCGGGAUGACGGCCUUCGGGUUGUAAACCGCUUUCGCCUGUGACGAAGCGUGAGUGACGGUAAUGGGUAAAGAAGCACCGGCUAACUACGUG
rnacentral:rRNA from 1 species